rnacentral:rRNA from 1 species
GACGAACGCUGGCGGCGUGCCUAAUACAUGCAAGUAGAACGCUGAAGGAGGAGCUUGCUCUUCUGGAUGAGUUGCGAACGGGUGAGUAACGCGUAGGUAACCUGCCUGGUAGCGGGGGAUAACUAUUGGAAACGAUAGCUAAUACCGCAUAAGAGUAGAUGUUGCAUGACAUUUACUUAAAAGGUGCAAUUGCAUCACUACCAGAUGGACCUGCGUUGUAUUAGCUAGUUGGUGGGGUAACGGCUCACCAAGGCGACGAUACAUAGCCGACCUGAGAGGGUGAUCGGCCACACUGGGACUGAGACACGGCCCGGACUCCUACGGGAGGCAGCAGUAGGGAAUCUUCGGCAAUGGACGGAAGUCUGACCGAGCAACGCCGCGUGAGUGAAGAAGGUUUUCGGAUCGUAAAGCUCUGUUGUAAGAGAAGAACGAGUGUGAGAGUGGAAAGUUCACACUGUGACGGUAUCUACCA